CUGAAGAGAGUUCACUCCGAACAAGGAUACAGCGGGGCUGUUUUCUCACGGGGUCCAUUUCCAUACUCCGUGCUGGGUGAGCUGAGAACAGCGAGUAUGGAAAUUUUCACCAAAAGAUCUGAGUUGAGGUGGUCUCCUUUCCAAGAGGCCUUGAAGUGGUCUGCUUUAGGGCUAGGGUCCUGCAAUUCAGCUGGCCUUUGCAUCUGAGGAUCAACAAGACACGGGAACAGAGCCAGGGUCUUGCUGGACGGAGAAGAGCAAUCCUGGACCAGCCAAUGGGAGGGUGAGUGAGGUCCUAGCUCCGCUCUGGAGCAUGAGUGAAUUCAGGGGAGAAUGAUUCAUGAAAUUCUUUCCAUGGGCACCUCAGCUGGUGCUAAAAUGGCAAAUAAAUAGAGAAAACAGUGAAAAACGAGAGGCAGGUACCUUGUGGCGUGAAGAUAUGCCUGGGAAGGGCUUCUCCUUGGAAAGCAAGAAACCUGCAUGAAUAUCUGAUGAAACAGGCAGCAAAGGUAUCAUCCGAGUUAUGAUUCAGUGAAAUGUGGCAUCGAAUUUAUAUUCGUGUCAAGGUUUAUUUUAAUAGUGUUAGUGAGGACCUUAAGCCUUAAAUCAUUAGAGUUAGAAGGGUCACUUAGCUUUUCCAGUUGGUUUCAACUGAACUUCUCAGGGGAAACUGAGCUUUGUGUUCCUAUAAAGUUGGCAGUUGGGGUUCUGAAAACUAGGGGUGUACUGGGUUUUGACCUCCUAAGCUGUAUGUGCUUAAGAAGGUGACUCCCCCAACCCCCAUCCUGGGAAUUGAAUCCAGGGAUGCUCUAACACUGAGCUACAUCCCCAGGCCUUUUAAUUUUUUAUUUUGAGACAAAAUAAAAGUUUUGCUCAGACUGGCCUCAAACUUCUUAUCCUCCUGUCUUAGCCUUCUGAGAAAGUGACUUCUUGAAAAAAAAAAUGAUCUUUUAUUUCCUCUAUGCCUGGAAGGUGCCGAAUGUCAGGGGGCAUCAGUCUCAGGGAUGAUGAGCUCCUCCUGAAAUUCUGCGUUCUGGCCAUCUUGCUAGCCUCAGCCUAGCCCUGGCCUUGAGGACAAGCCCAGCACAGAGAGGUCAGCAGGAUAAAGGAAUGAACAAAUGAAGCGAUCAGGGAAGAACAGUCAUUGGAAAUCUCCAAAUACCGGGUGUGUUCACAACCUUCCAACAGCCUGUUUCACAGAAGUUCACGAUGAGCAGAUGAACGGGCCUCAGUACUGUGCUUGUCUUAGCUCAGGCUGCUACAGCAACAGAAGAUAGGCCGGCAGCUUAAAGAAGACUGAUCCAUAAUAUGCUGGGGGUGGGGAUGGGAGGAUUAAAUGAACUCUAGAUAGGGCAAAGGGGAAAAGAGCAAAGACAGGAAGGAGGGAGAACAGGGGUAGGAAAGAUGGUGGAAUGCGAUGGUCAUCAUUACCCUAAGUAAAUGUAAGAAAACACGAAGGAUGUGACCCUACUUUGUGGACAACCAGAGAGCUGAAAAAUUGCGCUCUACACGUGUAAUUUGAAUUGUAAUGCAUUCUGUUGUCAUAUACAAAAUAUCAAAAAAUUUUUUAAAAAGAACUGUGGCACCUAAAAAUAAAAAAUAAAACAUUUUG
rnacentral:lncRNA from 1 species